UACGUAGGGUGCAAGCGUUGUCCGGAAUUAUUGGGCGUAAAGAGCUCGUAGGUGGCCUGUCGCGUCGGCUGUGAAAACUCGGGGCUCAACUCCGAGCUUGCAGUCGAUACGGGCAGGCUAGAGUUCGGCAGGGGAGACUGGAAUUCCUGGUGUAGCGGUGAAAUGCGCAGAUAUCAGGAGGAACACCGGUGGCGAAGGCGGGUCUCUGGGCCGAUACUGACACUGAGGAGCGAAAGCGUGGGGAGUCAAACAGG
rnacentral:rRNA from 1 species